rnacentral:lncRNA from 1 species
UGCAACAUCUCUUUCUAGUUCAUCAACAUUGGGAACUGCAACUGCCUCACAGGACUAUAGUAGCUAUGCAUCGUACUCAAAUCCUACAGAUCCAUAUGGUUAUGCAAGCACAGGAUAUCCAGGUUACUAUAAUGGCUAUCAACAACAACCUAACCAUUCAUACUCUCAGCAGCAACCUAACCAUUCAUACUCUCAGCCUGUAGGAGCAUAUCAAAACACAGGUGCUCCUUAUCAGCCUCUUUCCUCAUUUCAGAAUACAGGGUCUUAUGCUGGGACUCCAAGUUAUCCAGCCACUUAUUACAAUCCUGGUGAUUAUCAGACAGCU